CAGAGCUGGAGUCAUCAGACUUGAAUGGCCUUGAAACCGUGGGAAUGGAUUAGCUCUCCCAAGGAGAUGCGUUAGCUUUCAUAAUGCUGGAAGGUGCUGUGCAGGCCACUAAGGUGGAGAAUUCAUCAGUGACCUUACAAAUCACUAGACUCUGACCUGCCAGGCAGGAUGUACCCACUCGUGCAACUCGUGAAUGUUAUGAGGGCAUCCAACCACUUUCUGGUUGGACUUGAGGACAACUUCAAGGGAGAAAAAUCGUGCCUGAAACAAAACAAAACAAACAACGAUGCCGUCGAUGAUGAUGACAAAACCAUAAGAAUCCUGCUUUGAACGCUGGGUUAUUUAGAAAUAAAUGCAUUGCUUAGUCUCAA